GGGGGAUGCGAGCGUUAUCCGGAUUUAUUGGGUUUAAAGGGCGCGUAGGCGGGACGCCAAGUCAGCGGUAAAAGACUGCAGCUAAACUGUAGCACGCCGUUGAAACUGGCGACCUGGAGACGAGACGAGGGAGGCGGAACAGGUGAAGUAGCGGUGAAAUGCUUAGAUAUCACUUGGAACCCCGAUAGCGAAGGCAGCUUCCCAGGCUCGAUCUGACGCUGAUGCGCGAGAGCGUGGGUAGCGAACAGGAUUAGAUACCCUGGUAGUCCACGCCGUAAACGAUGCUCACUGGAUCUUGGCGAUACACCGCCAGGGUUCAAGCGAAAGUAUUAAGUGAGCCACCUGGGGAGU
rnacentral:rRNA from 1 species